rnacentral:rRNA from 1 species
UCCGUAGGUGAACCAGCGGAGGGAUCAUUACCGAGUUUACAACUCCCAAACCCCUGUGAACAUACCUAUACGUUGCCUCGGCGGAUCAGCCCGCGCCCCGUAAAACGGGACGGCCCGCCCGAGGACCCCUAAACUCUGUUUUUAGUGGAACUUCUGAGUAAAACAAACAAAUAAAUCAAAACUUUCAACAACGGAUCUCUUGGUUCUGGCAUCGAUGAAGAACGCAGCAAAAUGCGAUAAGUAAUGUGAAUUGCAGAAUUCAGUGAAUCAUCGAAUCUUUGAACGCACAUUGCGCCCGCCAGUAUUCUGGCGGGCAUGCCUGUUCGAGCGUCAUUUCAACCCUCAAGCUCAGCUUGGUGUUGGGACUCGCGGUAACCCGCGUUCCCCAAAUCGAUUGGCGGUCACGUCGAGCUUCCAUAGCGUAGUAAUCAUACACCUCGUUACUGGUAAUCGUCGCGGCCACGCCGUUAAACCCCAACUUCUGAAUGUUGACCUCGGAUCAGGUAGGAAUACCCGCUGAACUUAAGCAUAUCAAUAAGCGGAGGAAAAGAAACCAACAGGGAUUGCCCUAGUAACU